CCUACGUGGUGCAGCAGUGAGGAAUAUUGGUCAAUGGGCGCGAGCCUGAACCAGCCAAGUAGCGUGAAGGAUGACUGCCCUACGGGUUGUAAACUUCUUUUAUAAAGGAAUAAAGUGAGGCACGUGUGCCUUUUUGUAUGUACUUUAUGAAUAAGGAUCGGCUAACUCCGUGCCAGCAGCCGCGGUAAUACGGAGGAUCCGAGCGUUAUCCGGAUUUAUUGGGUUUAAAGGGAGCGUAGAUGGGUUGUUAAGUCAGUUGUGAAAGUUUGCGGCUCAACCGUAAAAUUGCAAUUGAUACUGGCAGUCUUGAGUACAGUUGAGGUAGGCGGAAUUCGUGGUGUAGCGGUGAAAUGCUUAGAUAUCACGAAGAACUCCGAUUGCGAAGGCAGCUUACUAAACUGCCACUGACAUUGAUGCUCGAAAGUGUGGGUAACAAACAGGAUUAGAUACCCUAGUAGUC
rnacentral:rRNA from 1 species